AAGUCCUGACCCUUCUGGCCGAUUACUGAAGAGGUUAUGGGUAGGAGGUCAUGGUUAGGUUUGGCCAUUCUUUGUAUAUUCAGUCUCUCAAUUGGGUGAGGAUUAGAUUUUGUUUCUCUUGACCUAGCUAGCUUUUAGCUCCAAAGUUUUGUUUAACUUGGAAGAAGACAGCAGUUCUAUUAUUUCUGUCAAGGAUAAACACAGACAUUGGGAUCUGAAAAGUAUUAUGGGAACAUACAUAAAUAUCUUCAUAGUGAGGGUCAGGCCGGAGAGUCACCCUUUGCCUUAAGCUUCUCCAUUUCCUUACUGAAUUCCUAUUUCUAUUAUAACUGACGCUUCACUAGCUUCCCUCCCUUUAGUGGAGGGCCCGGCCUCCUCCGCCCCUACUUUCUUCAGUCUUGCCCUUCGAGGGCAGGAGAAGACGGUUGCGCCCUACUAACUCUUCACCUUACA
rnacentral:lncRNA from 1 species